rnacentral:rRNA from 1 species
GACGAACGCUGGCGGCGUGCCUAAUACAUGCAAGUCGAACGCAGUGGGGACGGGUGAGUAACACGUGGGUAACCUCCCAUCAGAGGGGAUAACACUUGGAAACAGGUGCUAAACCGAUACUGAUGGAUGGACCUGCGGUGCAUUAGCUAGUUUGUGAGGUAACGGCUCACCAGGGCCACGAGGCAUAGCAGACCUGAGAGGGUUAGCGGCCAACCUGGGACGGAGAAACGGCACAGACGCCUCCGGGAGGCAGCAUUAGGGAAUCUGCGGCAAUGGACGAAAGUCUUACCGAGAAACGCCACGUGAGUGAAGAAGGGUUUCGGAGCGUAAAACUCUGUUGUUAGGGAAGCGGUAUCUAACCAGAAAGCCACGGCUAACUACGUGCCAGCAGCCGCGGUAAUUC